GCAAACUCAAAAGCCUCUUUCUUCUACAACCACAUGGUUUGUUUUAGCUAAAAGAGAAUCAGGUUCUUCAAUAGAUUCUUCUAUGACAGUGUCAUGAAUCAGAGACUCAAAAAGCACCAGAGUUCUUUCAUCUCUUGAGAAUGGAGUUUCUUCCCCCUGAUAUUCAGGAACAGAGGAGAAGUAGGGUUUGCAAUACAUGGAAGUGAGACUGGAGAUGAGGUGACUGGAGAAGAGUAGAGGUGAUUGGAGAUGAGGAGGAAAUCUAUAUGUGUACAGUAGUAUCAGGGAUAGUGAAGAAGUGGGUUUCUGGUGAUUGUGUUAAGGGAGCAGGAGGAGAUGUAGUAUUAAUGUUGAUAGCAAGAGAAAAAGACGAUUAUUUGUUGGCAUGGUGAGAGAUGUGGUAAAAGGUGCAAAACGAGACAAUGGUUUAGAACUGCUAGUCCAAAAAGUCGGAGAUGUGGCAGUUGAAUUAAUUUUGCAAUAUUUUUCUUUGAACAAGCAUGCGAAAACACAUUACUAC
rnacentral:lncRNA from 1 species